UACGUAGGGUGCGAGCGUUGUCCGGAAUUACUGGGCGUAAAGAGUUCGUAGGUGGUUUGUCGCGUUGUCCGUGAAAACUCACAACUCAAUUGUGGGCGUGCGGGCGAUACGGGCAGACUGGAGUACUGCAGGGGAGACUGGAAUUCCUGGUGUAGCGGUGGAAUGCGCAGAUAUCAGGAGGAACACCGGUGGCGAAGGCGGGUCUCUGGGCCGAUAUCGACGCUGAGGAGCGAAAGCGUGGGGAGCGAACAGG
rnacentral:rRNA from 1 species